CGUAAAUUGACGGAAGUAAAUUCCCUUGUUCAAUGUGGAAAGUGUACGGAAAAGUGGGAAAUGCCAGAACUCGUCCAAAAAUGUGAUAUGUCAAGUAAUGAAGAAAAAAAAAAUCCUUCAAUGCCUCAUGUCGCUGAAUCUCCUGACUGGAAUGCAGUAUAAAAUAUAUCAACAGCUGUGAUCUGAUACGUUCAGUUUGGAAGUUUGGGUUACCUUUCGGGCUCCAUAGAUUCAUGAUUGUGAGGUUCAAACGCUGUUUUGGAUGAUCAAAAGAAAU